GACGAACGCUGGCGGCGUGCCUAAUACAUGCAAGUCGAGCGGACGAAUCGAAAGCUUGCUUUUGAUUCGUUAGCGGCGGACGGGUGAGUAACACGUGGGCAACCUGCCCUGUAGACGGGGAUAACACCGAGAAAUCGGUGCUAAUACCGGAUAACACGAAAUGUCGCAUGACGUUUCGUUGAAAGACGGCGCAAGCUGUCGCUACAGGAUGGGCCCGCGGCGCAUUGGCUAGUGUGGGAGGUAACGGCUCACCAAGGCGACUAUGCGUAGCCGACCUGAGGGGGUGAUCGGCCACACUGGGACUGAGACACGGCCCAGACUCCUACGGGAGGCAGCAGUAGGGAAUCUGCCGCAAUGGACGAAAGUCUUACGGAGCAACGCCGCGUCAGCGAAGAAGGCCUUCGGGUCGUAAAGCUCUGUUGUUAGGUAAGAACAAGUAACGCAGUAACUGGCGUGACCGUGACGGUACCUAACGAGAAAGCCACGGCUAACUACGUG
rnacentral:rRNA from 1 species